ACGGAAGAAGCCGUAGAAUUUAUUUGGUCUGGCGGACCGCUUAGCGAUGCAGCGGUGGAUUCCUCAGAUUCUGAAGCUGACAACUGGCAAGGAAGAGGAGUAUGAUCACGGGAUUGAUCCCUUCGAAGAUAAAAAAUACAGAGGAUGAGAGAGGGGAUGCACAAGCCCCUGUCCCCAUCAGUAGGCCUCCUUCAAACCGAGAGGGAAAAGAAUGCGGCCAGGAGGGUGCAGCAUCCAGACAAAAGGCCAAACCAAUGCCAGCCCCCCUGACAGUGAAAGGGAGAGGAAGAGGAAAAGGGAAAAAAACAUCUCUGACCCCAGAAGAGCCAGGAGCUGUUUGGAACGGACCUGAGGUGCCAGAUACUGCCCAACAACUACCACACUUUUGCCCGAAAAGAGCCCCUGGAGUCCAAGGUUUUGUUGGUGUGGAGUAUACUCCUGCACAAAUAUUUAGAAAUUGUUUUAACAACCAAGCUGUAAAUAUCAUCUGCAAGAACACAAACAAAAAUGCUGAAAAGGAGCAGGCUAAGGGGGAAAAGUUUGUUU